UCGAGGAACUCGACUAUAGCGUUCUUUCUUAUUUAAAUAGAUCCAGCUGCUUGGCAAUAAGACCAUGCCUCAUGCAACGCGGGUGAACUUUGAAAACUUCGGUCACACUACAAAGAAUACGAUUUUUCGACUACUGAAACUCUUAGCCGAUCUGAGUACUAGGCUCAAAAACGAAGACGCAGAGCUACGCAGCGGUACUACGCGGGACUAAUCCAUAGAGGUGCAGAAACAUCGAUGAAAACAUCGAUGUUUUUUUGGACCAUCGAUGUUUCUAGGGCCCUCACUGUUCAAAGAAGAAGAAGGACAAAAGCACGCUAAAGCCACGUCAUGCGAGUCAGAAAGAGCCUUUAGCAAGGCGGGCCAAAUCAUUUCAGAUCGCCGUACCCGGUUGAAGUCCGGUAUCGUUGACCAACUUAUGUUUGUUAACAAGAAUUAUCAUAGCUUUCCAAAGAAAUCCCUUUAGAAACUAAGAUGAUCUCAAUAGACUGAACUUUUGUUUUUGUUUUUUUUUUAGUUUAGUUUUAAUACAAAUUCCAACAAUAUUUUUUAAAUUAUAUUUUAUGUUACAAUUAUGGAAUCAUCAUCAUCGAUGUUUUUUGAAAAACAUCGACGUUUCUGCACCUCUACUAACCCACCGAUCUUUAUUUUGCAUGCGAGCCACUACAAUAAUGGAAGGUAAAUUUUGAUUAGGUUAUUUUCACAAAUUUAAGAGUAGUUGUUUUUGGUUUAGACGACUGCAGAUAUCUACGAACCGCUUAAACAGGCUGCCUGUAAAUGCCUGUGAGUCCGAGAGGUGCUUUAGUAAAGCUAAAGAGAUACUGUCUGAUCGCCGCACAAAACUUAAACCACAUGUCGUAGAUAUGUUAACGUUCAUUAACAUAAAUGAAAAUAUACAUUCGUAACUAAGCUUUAUAUAAUACUGUUAUGUGAAUGUGAUCUCUUAGAAUACUGAUGAUUUUUUUAAAAUUUGUUUGCUGAAUAAAGCCAUUGUUUUUUGAUUUUAUGUAAACCGUAAAAGUCUUUAAGUUGCGUUAUAUUGGUUUACUAAUUUAUUUAAAAGCAAAAAAAUAUAUUAUAUUUUGGAAACAUCGAUGUUUAGUCGGUUCGAACAUCGAUGUUUCUCCACAUCCACAUCAUUACAUAUACUGUCGAAUUGUUGAUUCAUUGAGUUUCAAUCAGUUGGAUGAAUUAGGCCCAUUCAUUCAUAUUAUACUAUCAGAAAAAAUCUGCAUUUCUCAGUCUUUCGGCUGAGUCACUAAAAACCGAUCAUCACUGGAUUUUAUGAGUUAAGCGUCUUGUUUUUGUUCACAAUUCGCCGUCGUCCACGAUUUGUCUCUGUUGUCCUUUUGCAGUUAAGCCUAGUACUCAGAUCGGCUAAGAGUUUCACUAGUCGAAAAAUCGUAUUCUUUGUAGUCUGACCGAAGUUUUCAAAGUUCACCCGCAAUGCAUAUAGCAUAGUCUUACUGUCAAGUUUGUUGCCAAACGGAAAACAAAUCAAUUGGAGAAAUUUAAAAAGGAGGAGUCUGCUGGUACACAAAGAAAUUUAAAUAAAAAUAAAUGGAGUGUU